GGGGUACAGCAGGGUGUAUAGCAGGGUGUAGAGAGGGUGUUACAGCAGGGUGUAUGCAGGGUGUAUAGCAGGGUGGUACAGCAGGGUGUACAGCAUGGUGUACAGCCGGGUGUAUAGCAGGGUGUUACAGCAGGGUGUACAGCAGGGUGUACAGCAGGGUGUACAGCAGGGUGUACAGCAGGGGGUACAGCAGGGUGUAUAGCAGGGUGUACAGCAGGUGUGUACAGCAUGGUGUACAGCAGGGUGUAUCGCAGGGUGUAUGCAGGGUGUACAUGCAGGGUGUACAGAGGGUUGUUAUAGCAGGGUGUCAGCAGGGUUGAUGAUCU
rnacentral:lncRNA from 1 species